rnacentral:rRNA from 1 species
AACGAACGCUGGCGGCAUGCCUAACACAUGCAAGUCGAACGAGACCUUCGGGUCUAGUGGCGCACGGGUGCGUAACGCGUGGGAACCUGCCUUUAGGUUCGGAAUAACUUCCCGAAAGGGAUGCUAAUACCGAAUAAUGUCUUCGGACCAAAGAUUUAUCGCCUUUAGAUGGGCCCGCGUUGGAUUAGCUAGUUGGUGGGGUAAAGGCCUACCAAGGCGACGAUCCAUAGCUGGUCUUAGAGGAUGAUCAGCCACACUGGGACUGAGACACGGCCCAGACUCCUACGGGAGGCAGCAGUGGGGAAUAUUGGACAAUGGGCGAAAGCCUGAUCCAGCAAUGCCGCGUGAGUGAUGAAGGCCCUAGGGUUGUAAAGCUCUUUUACCAGGGAUGAUAAUGACAGUACCUGGAGAAUAAGCUCCGGCUAACUCCGUGCCAGCCGCCGCCGUAACAC